rnacentral:pre_miRNA from 1 species
AGUAGGAUAGUUGGGGCAUAUAGUGGUUCCAUUCCUAGUUUUUUGAGAAAUAUUCAUACUGCUUCCCAGAGUGGUUGCAUUAAUUUGCCAUUCCACCAACAAU